UCCCUGAUAGCUCAAUUGGUAAAGAAUCUGCCUGCAAUGCAGGAGACCUGGGUUCAAUUCCUGAGUCAGGAAA
rfam:Ovis aries breed Texel chromosome 14, whole genome shotgun sequence.